AGCGAACGCUGGCGGCAGGCCUAACACAUGCAAGUCGAACGCACCUUUCGGGGUUAGUGGCGGACGGGUGAGUAACCCGUGGGAACGUGCCUUUAAGUUCGGAAUAACUCAGGGAAACUUGUGCUAAUACCGAAUGUGCCCUUCGGGGGCAAGAUUUAUCGCCUUUAGAGCGGCCCGCGUCUGAUUAGCUAGUUGGUUAAGGUAAUGGCUCACCAAGGCGAAUAUCAGUAGCUGGUCUGAGAGGAUGAUCAGCCACAUUGGGACUGAGACACGGUCCAAACUCCUACGGGAGGCAGCAGUGGGGAAUCUGGCGCAAUGGGCGAAAGCCUGACGCAGCCAUGCCGCGUGAAUGAUGAAGGUCUUAGGAUUGUAAAAUUCUUUCACCGGGGACGAUAAUGACGGUACCCGGAGAAGAAGCCCCGGCUAACUUCGUG
rnacentral:rRNA from 1 species